GUUUGUUUUCAUGGCAGGCUCUGAAGCAGAGAGAGGAUGGGGGCAUAUUGUAAAAUCAUCUUUUAUGGGCUGUUAUUGAAUAUGAAUUGACUGCAGUGCUGAAGAGUGAAUAGGAACACAUACUGAGCAAG